AUCAAGUCCAGAAAGAAAUGGGUAAAUUUUUUUGACAAUUUUUAACAGAUGUAUUUCUUUAAAACAUCUUUUCCCACCAUUUCUCAACAUUCCCUCCUCCCUGCUCCUGUCCGCCCUUUAGCUUCUUGUGGGUUCCACGUUACCCUAUCUUCUCUUUGACGUCCUGAGGUCCUCCCACAUGACGUUCCCUUCUCACCAUCUCUCUGGCUGUUAUUCCUUCCAGUUUCUUCCUUGCUAUACACCCAGGUGGUGUUCUACCUCCCUGGUGAUUACCCUAAUUUCAUGAUAAGGUUGGUGAGAUGAAGGCGAUUCGCUUAAGCUGAGUGUGGUCAUUGCCAUUCGAGAGAAGGCUUCCUUUCCCUUGGGUUCUCCAAGUGCUCUGAGGUGGAGUGCCUCUUGCUUUACAGAUGAUCGUGUUCUGGCUUUUAGGGGAAGCAUUCAGACUCCAAAGCUGUUGCAUGAGAUGAGUUCCUUCUUUGUUGACUGUCUAGGAUGAUGGCUCAGUUCAAGGAUGAUUGGAGGAGAGAACAGUUGCUGAAUGAAGGACUUCAGGAAAAAUAUGAUGAUCUUCAAAAGAAAUUCGGUAAGUAUCUCUGACGACCUCUUUGUUUCCACAGCCUGUAUUAAACAUUCAGGUUUUUGGUUCUUUCGGCAUCCCCUCUCUUCUUACCUAUAUGCCAUCUUUUGGCUCACAUGUCAUCUCCAUGUCUUCCCUCUCCUCCCUCAAGGUUUCUGUUUAUGGACAUCUCCCAUCCUAAGUUCUCUCCGUUUCUUUUACCCGAGACCUGAUUCCUUCUCGCUGCUUCCCACUUCAUUUCACAGGGUCCUUCCUGUAAACAUGGUCUUAACUCUGGCAUCCAGAGUCUUGGCAGGUUCGUUUUGA
rnacentral:lncRNA from 1 species